rnacentral:rRNA from 1 species
GACGUAGGGCGCGAGCGUUGUCCGGAUUUAUUGGGCGUAAAGAGCUCGUAGGCGGCUUGUCGCGUCGUCCGUGAAAACCUGCAGCUCAACUGCAGGCUUGCGGUCGAUACGGGCAGGCUGGAGUUCGGUAGGGGAGACUGGAAUUCCUGGUGUAGCGGUGAAAUGCGCAGAUAUCAGGAGGAACACCGGUGGCGAAGGCAGGUCUCUGGGCAUUAACUGACGCUGAGGAGCGAAAGCAUGGGGAGCGAACAGG